rnacentral:lncRNA from 1 species
AGGAGGAGAUUUGUAUUUGUAGACGGGUGGUGGGGGUGGUGGAGACUUGUAGUGGUACGGUGGGUGAUAUGGUUUUUUGUAUGGUGGUGGCGGAGGAGGAGAUUUGUAUUUGUAGACAGGAGGUGGAGGUGGUGGAGACUUAUAGUGGUACGGUGGGUGAUAUGGUUUUUUGUGUGGUGGUGGUGGGGGGGGAGAUUUGUAUUUGUAUACUGGUGGUGGUGGAGAUUUGUACUUGUAAAUGGGUGUAGGUGGGUGGUAUGGCUUCUUAUAUGGUGGUGGAGGAGGUGGUGACUUGUAUUUGUAGACGGGUGGUGGUGGAGACUUGUACUUGUAAACUGGUGUAGGUGGGUGGUAUGGCUUCUUGUAGGGUGGUGGUGGAGGUGGUGACUUGUAUUUAUAAAUCGGUGGUGGCGGAGAUUUGUAUUUGUAAAUGGGUGUUGGUGGGUGGUAUGGCUUCUUGUAAGGUGGUGGUGGCGGAGGUGACUUGUACUUAUAGACGGGUGGUGGUGGAGAUUUGUACUUAUAAAUGGGUGUGGGGGGAUGAUAUGGCUUCUUGUAGGGUG